CGGCCUUGUGAGACUGGACAAAUCCAGGCGAUUGGGGUACAAAACUUACAAAUCUAUAUCAGCUGAAGUAGCAGUCUUGGUCCCCAUGAGCUUCCUGUAAAAUAACAGUUGAUUCUUUGCUUGUCAUCAUGAGGAAAAUGUGGCACACCUUCGACAGAGAUGCAUUUAAUGUGGUUUUUUCUAAACCUUGCAUGAUAAACUUUUGUGUCCUCGUCACAGAAAACACGCCGAUUAUAUCUCCCACGUUGCCUGGCUGCAACCGCAAUUCAGUCUAUCAGUGUUCACUUUUUUUUUUGUUUCAACAUGGUCCUGAAGAUCCACCCAGAAAGGGAGUGGAAGAACGUAUCAUAAAAAAGUUCAAAUCAGACAAAUGUUUGGAAUUAUCAACAAAUGAGCAUAUUAGUGCUCAAAGUGAAGUUAGUAUCUACAAAUACUUUCUUGCCAAUGAACAAGUGGGGCAAUGGAGGGAUGGGACCAUCAUACCCUAUGACCAUGAGCUCCAGAGAUGGCAUCGGAACCCACAAGCUGUGAAGUUCUUCGUUUUGAGCGACGCGUAUAAUGAGCCAGCAGCUAAACUGGAAUUAUACAAGAACACUGAUAAGCUUGUGCAGUCUGGUGGCUCCAGGAGUUGUAUGACUCCCAUCUUUACAACAUACAAUCCCAAUCUAAAGAAGAUGAUUAUCUGCUUUCCUUAUUUUUCGGAGUUUUUCUCGGAAUGGGCUGCUGACUACAAGGGUGAUGGUUCGAACUGUCUGCCUGAAAUUCUGAAAGAUAUGAUAAGGGACUUGUUGGCUUUGAUGUCAAAAACAAGUGUGAGGGGAUUAGAUGAUCUAUCUUCCUACAUUUGUAUCAGAGCUAAGUUAUCUUCAAAUAACAACAAUAAAUAUCCCAAUGCUGGAAAGCGAGAAAUUGCUGGAAAGCGAGAAAUCUUGAAAUUCAUUAGGUUUCCUUUAAGUGGAAAGGAUCCAAAUGAGCAUCAAAUGCGUACAAGUUUUGCUGCAUUUCUUCGGAAGAACUUACCAGGAGAAUGGUUUGGUCGGGAUUUCAUGUUAUUUACGGAGAUGAUGGGAGGUAUGGUGUACAGCCUACAGGUCGUAACAGAUCACCCAGUAUUAAAGUGUGGUGCUGGUAUUGCCAAACUGAUCAGAGCGUGCUUUCGUGAAAAUUUGCGUCCUAGGCAGAUAGGAAUCUUAGAGAGGAUCGUUGACAUUGCCAAAUACGGUGGUCAGUCUUGGCACGCCUGUCUGAUACAUUAUCCAGUUUUGUUGGCCAUGAGUCGCUAUCGCACUGGAUCAUCGGACAGCCAUGAUCUUCUAUGGUUCGCAAGAAAAGCAACUGCUCACUAUAAGGAAAACCUCAAUGCUGAAUUUAGAAAAGGUACAAUACAGAGAUGUCCUUUCAACAACAUACACCCAAGUUUCAUUGUUAUGAUAGUGUAUCCCGGGCUGGUCUCCGAUUUGUAUGAGCUGUAUUUGAAUCACGAAUAUCUCAACGCGAUAGUGUAAAGACAAAUUUCAGUAUUUGAAGCUGCUUCAGUUGGCGGUCCUCCUGACCAUCUUAGCUUUGCGUGAUUGUCCACAUUUGGCAUGCGGAGAAAAGGAAUGGAGCACAUGAAAAAUGAGAAUCAUGUGGGGAAAAAGCAAGAUGAAGAGGGACAUCCUAACAAAUGAGGUGAGAAUGGUAGAACUCAAGUAAAGAACAAUGAUAUGAAAUGAGUAGUCUCAAAACCUGUAACCAUCUGCCUGAUCUUUUACUGAUGUUCCAGCAUUGUAGUGAAAAGUUAAUAAUUUGUGUUCUUUAACAGUGUUAAUCCCGUCACUAUGUUUGUAUUCUGCAGAUAUUUGGAUCUAGUAACCUUGAUAUUUAGUGAGAAAUGGUUUUAAAAGUUGUGAGGAUUGUUGUUCAGUACUGAUGAUGUAUUUGAAUUUCAUAAUAUCAUUAACCACUUUAUGUAUCAUA